UCUGCACCGUAGGUUUGUUGUCA
rnacentral:miRNA from 1 species